rnacentral:tRNA from 2 species
GCCUGAGUGGUGGAAUUGGUAGACACGUUGGACUUAAAAUCCAAUGGAUAUUAAAAUGUCCGUGCCGGUUCGAGUCCGGCCUCAGGUA